CCGUGCUGAAAAUUGCUGGGGGAGAAUAGAUCAGAACAACGUUGGUAGAUCUGCCCGUGCCUUCAUGCCAUUUCUGGAUCCUACAUGCUGAACGUGGAGGCGCCUAGCCGAGGAAGGCUGAAAUUACUGCAAAAUGCUGCACACUGCCUCGCCGAUUUCGUAGAUCCUGAGAGUGCGGCCUGCGCGCGUGGACCAGCUACAACCUUGGGCCGUCCUUUCAAAGACCACCAAGGCAUUCGGAGAGGCAUAUGCAGUGCACGAUCGAAAUCACGUUGAAGGAAACGCGGCCUCUAGACCGUGGAAUUCUUUUCCACAGGACACAUUGGCUUAGGAGGCAAGGACACUGUGGAAGACAUGCUUGAGUGUCUGCGCAAGGAAGUGCAAAGAACAAGCUGACGUACUCGUGUUGUUUUGGACAGGCACCACUUCAUUGACACCAGUAUUGCGGUUUUGACGUGCUUACAUUGCUUACAAAUAAAGCGGCU